AACGAACGCUGGCGGCAGGCCUAAUACAUGCAAGUCGAACGCUCCAGCAAUGGAGAGUGGCAGACGGGUGAGUAACGCGUGGGAACCUUCCCAGUGGUACGGAAUAGCUCAGGGAAACUUGAGGUAAUACCGUAUACGCCCUUCGGGGGAAAGAUUUAUCGCCAUUGGAUGGGCCCGCGUCGGAUUAGCUAGUCGGUGGGGUAAUGGCCUACCAAGGCGACGAUCCGUAGCUGGUCUGAGAGGAUGAUCAGCCACACUGGGACGGAGACACGGCCCAGACUCCUACGGGAGGCAGCAGUAGGGAAUAUUGGACAAUGGGCGAAAGCCUGAUCCAGCCAUGCCGCGUGAGUGACGAAGGCCUUCGGGUUGUAAAGCUCUUUUGGCGGGGACGAUAAUGACGGUACCCGCAGAAUAAGCUCCGGCUAACUUCGUGCCAGCCGCCGCGGUAACAC
rnacentral:rRNA from 1 species